rnacentral:snRNA from 1 species
AUGCUUGCUUUGGCAGCAUAUAUACUAAAAUUGGAACAAUACAGAGAAGAUUAGCAUGACCCCUGCGCAAGGAUAACACUCAAAUUCGUGGAGCAUUCCAUAUUUUU